rnacentral:rRNA from 1 species
CCGGCGCACGGGUGAGUAACACGUAUGCAAUCCACCUGUAACAGGGGGAUAACCCGGAGAAAUCCGGACUAAUACCCCAUAAUAUGGGCGCUCCGCAUGGAGAGCCCAUUAAAGAGAGCAAUUUUGGUUACAGACGAGCAUGCGCUCCAUUAGCCAGUUGGCGGGGUAACGGCCCACCAAAGCGACGACGGAUAGGGGUUCUGAGAGGAAGGUCCCCCACAUUGGAACUGAGACACGGUCCAA